rnacentral:rRNA from 1 species
UGGGGAAUUUUGCACAAUGGGGGAAACCCUGAUGCAGCGACGCCGCGUGAUUUAGAAGGCCUUCGGGUUGUAAAAAUCUUUUGUAUGGGAAGAAAAUGACAGUACCAUACGAAUAAGGACCGGCUAAUUACGUGCCAGCAGCCGCGGUAAUACGUAAGGUCCGAGCGUUGUCCGGAAUCAUUGGGCGUAAAGGGUACGUAGGCGGAUAAGCAAGUUAGAAGUGAAAUCCUAUAGCUCAACUAUAGUAAGCUUUUAAAACUGCUCAUCUUGAGGUAUGGAAGGGAAAGGGGAAUUCCUAGUGUAGCGGUGAAAUGCGGAGAUAUUAGGAGGAAUACCGGUGGCGAAGGCGACUUUCUGGCCAUAUACGGACGCUGAGGCGCGAAAGCGUGGGGAGCAAACAGG